CCUACGGGUGGCAGCAGUGGGGAAUAUUGCACAAUGGGGGAAACCCUGAUGCAGCGACGCCGCGUGAGUGAAGAAGUAAUUCGUUAUGUAAAGCUUUAUUAGCAGGGAAGAAAAUGACGGUACCUGAGUAAGAAGCCCCGGCUAACUACGUGCCAGCAGCCGCGGGAAUACGGAGGGGGCAAGCGGUAUCCGGAUUUUCGGGGUGUAAAGGGAGCGUAGACGGCAGUGCAAGUCUGGAGUGAAAGGCGGGGGCUCAACCCCCGGACUGCACUUGAAACUGUAAGGCUGGAGUACAGGAGAGGUAAGUGGAAUUCCUAGUGUAGCGGUGAAAUGCGUAGAUAUUAGGAGGAACACCAGUUGCGAAGGCGGCUUACUGGACUGUAACUGACGUUGAGGCUCGAAAGCGUGGGGAGCAAACAGGAUUAGAUACCCGGGUAGUC
rnacentral:rRNA from 1 species